GACGAACGCUGGCGGCGUGCUUAACACAUGCAAGUCGAACGGUGAAGCGCCUUCCUUUUUGGUGGGUGUGGAUGAGUGGCGAACGGGUGAGUAACACGUGAGUAACCUGCCCCCUUCUUCUGGAUAACCGCAUGAAAGUGUGGCUAAUACGGGAUAUUCUGGGUCUGUCGCAUGAUGGGUCUGGGAAAGAUAUUGUUUCGGUGGGGGAUGGGCUCGCGGCCUAUCAGCUUGUUGGUGGGGUGAUGGCCUACCAAGGCGGUGACGGGUAGCCGGCCUGCGAGGGUGGACGGUCACACUGGGACUGAGACACGGCCCAGACUCCGACGGGAGGCAGCAGUGGGGAAUAUUGCACAAUGGGCGCAAGCCUGAUGCAGCGACGCCGCGUGAGGGAUGGAGGCCUUCGGGUUGUGAACCUCUUUCGCCAGUGAAGCAGGCCUGCCUCGUUUGUGGGUGGGUUGACGGUAGCUGGAUAAGAAGCGCCGGCUAACUACGUG
rnacentral:rRNA from 1 species